AACGGAUAUCCGGUUUUCGGUUCAAAUCAAAACGAAUAACGAAUCGAAUCAAAAUUUAUGAAUAAUUUGUCCAGCUCUAUUCGUAAACAGUAAAAAUAACGUAAAGAAUAACCAUUCAUGUGAGUUUUAUAUUAAAAAAACGUAAAGUAUAACAUAUUUAUGUAGAGUUUGGCUGCGAAGCUCUCUACAUGUGACAUGUAUUCAUUUUAGUGUGAACACAUUUAUUACAAUGCUUCUACACGUGACAUGUGUCCAGUUUAUUGUGAAUUCAUUUAUUACAAUGUUUCUCCUUUAAUAUAUAAGGGAUCAUUUUGCGUAAUUCUUAUGAGUUAUAAAUAAAUGUGGGAUAUGCAAAAUAAAAUGUGACUAGUUUGGUAUUCGUUAUAUAUUGACAAAAAAGGUAUUCGUUAUACUAUUUUUGUCAACAAUAUUAGGUACGAAUACCUUUUUUGUCAAUAAUAUUAGGUACUGAAUAUUAAUUAAGCAGAUAGAUUCAAGAUGCAUUUAAAUGAUUUUAACCAAUUGAUUAAAAUAUAUAAAAUCAUUUAUACAUUCAGAACUUAACAAAUCUGGUUCUUUGACACAACUAGUCUUAUUUUUUCAUUACAUGCAUUGCUUCUUUAGUCUCUGCCGAGUCUACAUGGAAGCUAUAUUGAACCUAAUUCAAACACCUGGGCUCGUUAUCUUCGGUGUGAGUUAUUAGCUUGUUUUGUUUAUUUCAGUUAGAUCUUUACUGGUGUCAAUUUUUUUUGUAGGAUGAAGAAAGAAGGCUUGCUCUUUAUGCUGUUCUCUUCUACGGUUUAGGAAAACAGUUUACAAGGAUAACAAAGGAAAAUUGGUACUUAUCGUUCAAUAAGUAUGAUGAGCUUUAACUAAAAUAUUGAGUUUGAUUCUCUAAGCAAACGAAACAUGAACCUUCCCAGGUUUCUGUUGUUAACUACAUCUUGAAGAACUCUAUGAAGCGAAAGUUUAAGGACGCUGAAACAGUGAGCUUUGUUUAUUAAUUUUCAGUGUCUUAAUAUCCAAUUGCAACACUAUUAUGGUAAUAAAAUCCAUCUGCUUCCUUCAGAUUAUCAAUAUACACCUUGCCGCGGAGAGAUUCAUGUCCUUGAUUCUUCCUCUUCAGCUGAAGAAUCCAUUACAACUGGAGAAACUUGAUUGGGAUAGUGAGAUCCUUGAGCUGUGUGAAUCCAUCUCCCUAAUGAUCCAGAGAUCCCUGCAACAUCGAAAAUAAAAGUACUCACAGGGUCUCUUCUUAGAGAUAUCAAAGGUCUCUGGCGUGUUGCCUUGUUAAUAUAAUUACUACUGUAUACGGAUGAUGAUGGCACGAAGCUUGAUCUUGACAAGAAACGAGAAAUUUAUCUAACAAUCCAGGACGCCAUCAGUGAACUAAGUCUUGAUAACGUGUGGGAUGAAAAGCCUCUGAUGAGUGGAGGUAAAAUCAUUGAAGAAGUUCAAAAGGGAGGACAAGUUACUGCAAAGCAAGACAGAGGACCCAUUAUCCGUUUAACAAGCCGCUGCUAACAAAUCAUGAGACAACUCGAGCCUAAGUAUGGCAGCGGUCUACUGGCAGCUGUAUGAUGCAACCGACGUGUUCCUCAGAAAACACCUAAGAAUGGCCAAAGUAUGCCAGAGGCCUGUGACACAGCGGUCUUUAGACGAGCAACAAUCUGCUGCAGACCCCCAGCGGCCUUGGCAUACCGCGGCGAGACUUUUGUUGAUUUAUUCUCGGGUCAAACCCGGGUUUGUCGGGUUGACCCGGUUCGAGUUUAAGCUAAUAUAAAUACAUUUUAGACCUAAUUUUAGGAGUUAUCUUGUUAUCUAUCAAAUCAAAAACCACUUUUGGGUGAAAGAUCUAAUCUUGAUCUAUAUCAUUUGUAUUUGUUUGAUUACUUUGAUCAUAUGUUUAGUCUUAAAUCAACCAAUGAUUUAAUGUCUAUCAUGAUAAUGAGUGAGUAGUUAUCUUUGUAUUCAUGAGUUAGGAUGAUUAGAAUGAAUAAGUGAAGAUCUAUAGUGUUUAGAGUUAGAUUAAUCUAUUUUCUUGUUUGUUGAGUGAUCUUAAUGCUAGUUUAUUGUUGGCCACUCUAAACUAGAACUCUAGACAUUUCACACUCGGAAGGUGUUCGAUGAAAUGUCUGAGCCAACUCAACUUUGCUCUUUGCUUGCUUAAUCAAAGACAUUUGAUGUUAGGAAAGCUUAGAUAGUCAAUGGACAUGUUUUUAAUGAUUGAUUGAAUGACACAAACCAAAGACAUUUGAUUUGAUGUUUGAUCAAUGAGAAUAAAUGAGAAUUUAUCUUGACAAAGAACUUGUUUAGGAUUGUUGUCUAGACUUAAGGAAAUAUGUUGAUUGAUACCUUACCUAUCUAGAUUGGAUCUUAGUCAUUUGAAGUCAAAUUCCUAGACCCAUGAGUCUUCCUUUAUCCUAUUACUUGAAAGUUUGCUAAUUCAUUGUUUUAGAGUCUUGUUAGUUAAAUCAUAUCACUUUAUUACACUGAUUGCAUUUAGAUUAGGCAUUAAUCUGUAUUCUCUUUGCAUCAUGGUCACUUAUGAUUGGAUUGACAUAUUUUCUGUACUACAUUUAUUUGAUACUUGGAUUUUAAACAAAGUCCUUAUCAACCAUUAAGAAUCAUGACAGCAAAAUUGCAAUUGCAUUGUAUGGCUGCAUGCUUUGUUGAAAACA